AGUCCAUGGUGGGGGACAUUCCUUAACAGCUCCUUAUAACGCUCCCAAGACUCAUACAAAGACUCUCCAUCUUGUUGAAAGAAAGUAGUGAUGUCAUUUCUCAUCUU
rnacentral:snoRNA from 1 species